rnacentral:misc_RNA from 1 species
GGAAGGAUCAUUAACACUACGGUCAUUGUGCCAACAAUGACUUGCCAACUCGCGGACCUAUUGUCUUUUUUUCUCUUUUCUUUCUAUAAGGGACUCGUCCUUUUUAGAAUUAAAAGAGAAAAAGUCGACCUGUCCUAUUGGAGGGUAACUCUUCCUUUAGCAAGGCAGGCUCCGGCAACCUUUUUUUUUCACUAACCCUUUUCACGAUGAAAUCUAUCUGAUGCUAAGUGAUUGGCGAAAGCCUUCACAAUGUAUAACGAGAAACAACUCUUAACAACGGAUCUCUUGGCUCUCGCAUCGAUGAAGAACGCAGCGAAAUGCGAUACCUAGUGUGAAUUGCAGAAUCCAGUGAAUCAUCGAACCUUUGAACGCAUCUUGCGCCUCUGGGUACUCCCAGAGGCACGCCUGCUUGAGUGCCACUUAACUACCUCAUCCUCUGACUUGUUUCGAGUUUUUGGAUGGAGUUGAGCUGUCGAAACAAUUUUCAUUAAUUGUUCCGUCGCUUGAAAGUUAGUGGCCUUACGGAUUCUAUAUGGCUUCUUGUGCAAGCGUGGUAAGCCUUGUCUCAAGGCAUUCCGCUUGUACCUAGCUUCACGAAAGAAAUUUCUAAUUUCCGGUAGUGAGGGGGAAGCUUAUAGAGUUCGGCCAAUACUUACAGGAGAAAACCUUUUUCCUUGGCCUCAAGUCAGACGAGAUUACCCGCUGAAUUUAAGCAUAUUAUUAAGCGGAGGAAAAGAAACUAACAAGGAUUCCCCUAGUAGCGGCGAGUGAAGCGGGAAUAGCUCAAGCUGAAAAUCUGCAGGGCCCCCCUGCCGAAUUGUAGUCUAUAGGAGCGUUUUCUGAAGCUGGCCGGGUUUAAAUCCCUUGGAACGGGGUAUCAUAGAGGGUGACAGUCCCGUCUGUGACUCGGAUUCAGCUUCUGUACGAUACGUCUCCGUCGAGUCGGGUUGUUUGGGGGGGAUUGCAGCCCUAACGAGGUGGUAAACCCCAUCUAAAGCUAAAUAUUGGCGAGAGACCGAUAGCGAACAAGUACCGUGAGGGAAAGAUGCAAAGAACUUUGAAAAGAGAGUUAAACAGUGCGUGAAAUUGUUAAGAGGAAAGCGAUUGAAGCCAGUGUUUUAUCUAUGUCGGAUUCAGCGGAUGGUACCAAACCGUCUGAGGUUAGGGACCGCAAGGCCCGGCUUUAGGCGAGGGAGGCUUCAUCCGUGCACUUCCGGCGUAGGUAGGUCAGCAUCAAUUCUAUUGACCGAAUAAGGUUCUGAGAAAGGUAGCUCCCUCGGGAGUGUUAUAGUCUCAGUGUCCCACGGUCGACGGGAUUGAGGUUGUAGUACGCGCUCUGCGGAUCGAGCCGUCGCCGUUGUUUUCUCGGGAUGAGAGUGCACGCACUGUCACCUUGUUGAGAUGACGCUCGGCGGGUAGGUUCCUGCGUACUCGGGAUGCUGACAAUACGGCUUUAAUCGGCCCGUCUUGAAACACGGACCAAGGAGUCUAACAAGUAUGCGAGUCCUCGGGUGUCAAACCCAUGGGCGCAGUGAAAGCGAUUUGGUGGGAUCCCGCAAGGGUGCACCACCAGCCGACCAUGAUCACUCUGUGAAAGGUUUGAGUAAGAGCAUACAUGUUGGGACCCGAAAGAUGGUGAACUAUGCCUGACUAGGGCGAAGCCAGAGGAAACUCUGGUGGAGGCUCGAAGCGGUUCUGACGUGCAAAUCGAUCGUCAAAGUUGGGUAUAGGGGCGAAAGACUAAUCGAACCAUCUAGUAGCUGGUUCCCUC